GCCCCCAUAGCUCAGAGGUCAGAGCAGCGGUCUUCUAAACCGUCGGUCGGGAGUUCGAAUCUCUCUGGGGGCACCA
rnacentral:tRNA from 1 species